rnacentral:misc_RNA from 1 species
ACCGCCUCGUGGUCAGGGCGGACGUGUAUGUGCAGCAGUACGCUCGGUAUUUGAACCAUUUAUAACAUGUAAUGAUGUUUUCUUCGGCACUGGGAUAUGUCUACCGAAGCUGUAGUAGACACGAUUUUGUAGGUAGAGUAGCUCAGUGUUUUGCACAACCGUCACGAUGCCAUCAACCGCUGCGGUUUACAUGCGCCGUUUCACAACUCCGAAGUCCUCGGAAGACGUGGGGUUGGUCGUUGGGGAGACAUGUCGGCGGAAUUAACCAGUCAUACUCUACAAUGACCAUCACGAAACAUGUUUAUAACAGAAUCAUUAGAAAGAGCCAAAUAGAAUUUAUAAAUAAAGCAGAGUGGGAUAUAACGCAAGAUGGAAGGAACGAAACGGAGAUUAUCAGUGAUUACGAGAACAGAGCCAGUAAGGCCGAUAAUGACCUUGACGGAGAGAUUCUGUACAUAUUUGCUGUCGGUAGUCUUUUGAGAGAUUCACCUAAAUCUCAAAACACUCAUCUUCCACAAGAUGACAGGAUAUCAUCAGCCCUGCAAAUCAUCCUCAACAAAGGUUUGAUGGAGGGAAGUUCCUCGAGUCAGUUACGCAGAUUAUUGUUAGUUGGGGCCAGAAUUCAUCAAUCUCCAGAAGUUCUUCAGUUUAGUAAGGAACUGGAGAGAAACAUGUCACAGGUAUGGUCCGAAUGGCCUUUUAAGUCUAAGAUACAAACCUGCAACGGGUGGUUUCGUUUGUCUGCAAUACACAGGCAGAAAUACUUCGAGGACCAGAUCCGAAUUUUCUUAAAGCACAUGAGAGAGGCAAAGCUUGGGUGUGAGGAACCUGGACGCAAAAAUAUUUACCAGCUCCUUCAUGUUCUGUCCAGUGUAACAUACUAUUCUAAAGCACUGGGUGGAAGAUGGGCAGAUGAAAACGAUGUUGGAUUAUUUUUACAGAAUUUGGAAUCGUGGUAUUUUGACAUGGAUUUAGAGCCAAAAGAAGUGGACAGUUAUGUCAGCCUCUGUCACAGUGUUGAUUAUUUGGUGCCUUCUGACAUUUUAUGGAAGAUGUUAAAGAUUCUCCAAAAAGCAACACUUUGUGAAGAAGUUGGAAAAGACAACAAUGCAUAUCUGUGCAUUAAAGACAUGUUGGAUUUAGCUCAAAAGCAGGAGUUGAAUAAAGAUUUCAUGUACAUACAAUAUGUUACAGAACUUGCAGAAGUAUUUAGAAGCAGACAUCUUUGUCAUUGAUGCACCAAAUUGACAUUACAUGGAAAUUUAGUUUAGUGCCGUAUUGUGAUCAUGAAAUGAUUUUGAAAGUUUUAAAGAACUUUGUGCCAGAUGAACAAGACAGCAAUGACAACAAUGUUUAUAAAUUAGUUACUGCUUACUAUAUGGUGGAUUGUAAUCCAAAUAUUACUUUUGUAGAAACGGUGAGAGAUUUAAUACAAAACCAAGGAAAAAAUCUCUCCCCUUUCCAAUUACUUUCCAUUGCUCACAAUUUGAUAUGCCAUCAUGGCUAUCGUGAAUUCUUCAGUGAAAUACUAGAUUGUGUUUUUGAGUCUGAUCUGAUGAAGGAAGAGUUCUUAAGUGAGCUGAGCCCAGGAAGGAUUAAAAUGAUUCUAGAGUUGUGUGGAAGGUUAGAAAUAGAACAAAUUGACAGAUAUGUUAAGAAGAUUCCACCCAGCCUCUACAAGGUAUGUGGUGUUCAAGUCUGUGCAGAGAAAUUGAAAACAAAUUGCCAGCUGUCCUCAGUGAAGGCUGUUUUAGCAGCUGUGCAGAUGAAUCUUGGUGGUUCCCACAUGUCAAGAAUCAUGCCAGUACUUCCCAUAUAUCUUCCUAUUGUGGAGUGCUGUUUGAAUGAAGUGAAUGAGCCUGUAGACAUGGAGCUGGUGCCCAGGGUUUUUGAUGAAAGUGGAUUCCUCAAAGUGGAAAACUUGUCUGCCCUGCCUGAAGGUUGGAGAAGAAUAGCAGUACUAGUAUUGCCUUCACAAUAUAAACAUCUCUUUAUCAACAAGCCAGCGUACACUGGUGACUUUAAGGCAAAGCUACGCUUCCUAGGACGUGCAGGAUACCAAAAGGUUGUACUGGUUACUAAAGUUCCGAUGGAGGAGAAGUUACACAAAUGUAUAAGGGAUAUAUUGAAAGAAAUCCCUGAUAUAAGGUUACCAGAUAAUUAGGAGACUUUUGGAGUGUUUCAUGACAAGAUUGAAGAGGAUUGGGCAACUCUCUGCUAACAUUGACUGUUGAAUGUCAAUCUUAAACCAAACUCAAUGUAGUGAUGUGCUGUUACCAUUAGGACUUCCAUCAAAUAACACAAUUCUGUGGAUACGUGUGCCUUUUGCUGGGACAGAAUAACACUAGGCAAGGCAUUGUAUUAUGCUUCAAAUCUGUUGGGCAAAAUUUGACUUAAAGUCACAAAUGCCAGUGACUGGGACAAUAAUGUACAUUUAAUCUGUCAUUCUGCUCAAUUUAGUUAAACAGAAUACAAAACUAAAAUCUCCUUUUGUACAUUACUGAAGACAUUUGUUCCACUUGUGUAAUUUGAAAUGUUUAUUUAUCAUUGUACAGCCUGUUGUAUUUUUUUAAUUGUGACAAUUGUAAAGUUAAAGAUAAGUGUAGCUUAGAUAUUUGAAGUAUAUAAUCAAAGUGCUAUACAUGAUGUCUAUGUUAUUAUUAUUUCAUUGCAUAACAAAUUUUACAAUCACUUAAUAUGGGAAGUGCUGAAAAUGAGUUUGUAAAUAAAAUAAAUUGUUAAUAAAAUUUCUGCUUGAAGUAAUAAUAGUAAUGAUAAUAGACUUACCAUGUCAGACAAUUUAACUGAUUACAUUGACUGCACUAAAGCUAUAAUCCCAGCAGAGUUAGAUCGAUCCAGCUAGAAUGAUGAGUAACUUG